rnacentral:rRNA from 1 species
AACGAACGCUGGCGGCGUGCCUAACACAUGCAAGUCGUGCGAGAAAGUUCCUUCGGGAGCGAGUAAAGCGGCGCACGGGUGAGUAACACGUAGGUAACCUGCCCCCCAGUCUGGAACAACUAGAGGAAACUCUAGCUAAUGCCGGAUGAGACCACGAUCCCUUCGGGGGUUGCGGCCCAAAAGAUGGCCUCUACUUGUAAGCUAUCGCUGAGGGAUGGGCCUGCGGGCCAUUAGCUUGUUGGUGAGGUAACGGCUCACCAAGGCUGUGAUGGCUAGCUGGUCUGAGAGGAUGACCAGCCACACUGGGACUGAGACACGGCCCAGACUCCUACGGGAGGCAGCAGUGGGGAAUAUUGCGCAAGUGGGCGAAAGCCUGACGCAGCGACGCCGCGUGGGUGAUGAAGGCCU